UUUAUUCUUCAUUGGAUACAAGUGGUUUAAUUGGGGCAGAUGGAUCGACAGUUUUGUGUGGUAUGAUUUGGGAAGCCAAGUGGUUGAGGAUGUUGUGAUUAGAGGUAUUCCAUCUUCAUUUGAUGUGAGCUUGUAUGUUGACAGCCUUGUUCCUCUCAAUAGUAAUGCUCAACAGUGAGAUGCCUCCAGAGGGAUGAUUUUUUGUCCAAGAAGCUUCACUUGGUGCUAUAAUUAGAGAAAGGAUAUGAGAUAAUUUAAUGUUAAACGAAGUUUGUUUCUUGAUUACUUUAAAUACAAGUAUUUCAAUUUAUAAUUUUAUGUAUUGGAGACUCGUAUCAUUAUAUUUGUAUUUGGAUAUGGUUGUAAUGAAUUCCAAUUAAUGGAAGAAUUGGUUUGGUUUGAUUUGAUAA